rnacentral:rRNA from 1 species
UAGCCGUAAACGAUACUCGCUAGGUGUCGGCCACGGUGCGACCGUUGUCGGUGCCGUAGGGAAGCCGUGAAGCGAGCCACCUGGGAAGUACGGCCGCAAGGCCGAAACUUAAAGGAAUUGGCGGGGGAGCACCACAACGGGUGGAGCUUGCGGUUUAAUUGGAUUCAACGCCGGAAAUCUUACCGGGACCGACAGCAACAUGAAGGCCAGGCUGAAGACUUUGCCGGAUUAGCUGAGAGGUGGUGCAUGGCGUAGUCGUGU